rnacentral:rRNA from 1 species
GAUGAACGCUAGCUACAGGCUUAACACAUGCAAGUCGAGGGGAAACGGCAUCGAAAGCUUGCUUUUGAUGGGCGUCGACCGGCGCACGGGUGAGUAACGCGUAUCCAACCUGCUCAUCACUUGGGAAUAACCUUGCGAAAGUAAGACUAAUGCCCAAUGACAUCCCACGAAGGCAUCCGAAUGGGAUUAAAGAUUUAUCGGUGAUGGCUGGGGAUGGAUCUGAUUAGCUUGUUGGCGGGGUGACGGCACACCAAGGCAACGAACAGUAGCGGUUCUGAGAGGAAGGCACCCCACAUUGGAACUGAGACACGGACCAAUCUGGUACGGGAGGGAGCAGUGUGGAAUAUUGGGGAAUGGGCGAGAGCCUGAACCAGCCAAGUAGCGUGCAGGAGCACGGCCCUAUGGAUGGUAAACUGCUUUUAUAAGAGAAUAAAGUGGGUCACGUGUGACUUUUUGCAUGUACCUUAUGAAUAAGGACCGGCUAAUUCCGUG